rnacentral:rRNA from 1 species
UUCYGGUUGAUCCYGCCRGACUGCUAUCGGAUUGAUACUAAGCCAUGCUAGUCUUUGUAGUAAUACAAGGCAUACGGCUCAGUAACGCGUAGUCAACCUACCCUAUGGACGGGGAUAAUCUCGGGAAACUGAGCAUAAUACCCGGCAGACCACUUAUCCUGGAAUGGUUAGUGGUUAAAAUGAUUCGUCGCCAUAGGAUGGGACUGCGGCCUAUCAGCUUGUUGGUGAGGUAAUGGCCCACCAAGGCGAUUACAGGUACGGGCUCUGAGAGGAGAGGCCCGGAGAUGGGUACUGAGACAAGGACCCAGGCCCUAUGGGGCGCAGCAGGCGAGAAAACUUUGCAAUGUGCGAAAGCACGACAAGGUUAAUCCGAGUGAUUUCUGCUAAAGGAAUCUUUUGUUAGUUCUAAAAAUACUAGUGAAUAAGGGGUGGGCAAGUUCUGGUGUCAGCCGCCGCGGUAAAACCAGCACCUCAAGUGGUCAGGAGGAUUAUUGGGCCUAAAGCAUCCGUAGCCUGUUCUAUAAGUUUGCGGUUAAAUCUAUACGCUCAACGUAUAGGCUGCCGUAAAUACUGUAGAACUAGGGAGUGGGAGAGGUAGACGGUACUCGAUAGGAAGGGGUAAAAUCCUUUGAUCUAUUGAUGACCACCUGUGGCGAAGGCGGUCUACCAGAACACGUUCGACGGUGAGGGAUGAAAGCUGGGGGAGCAAACCGGAUUAGAUACCCGGGUAGUCCCAGCUGUAAACGAUGCAGACUCGAUGAUGCAAUGGCAUAGAGCUAUUGCAGUAUCGCAGGGAAGCCGUUAAGUCUGCCGCCUGGGAAGUACGUACGCAAGUAUGAAACUUAAAGGAAUUGGCGGGGGAGCACCACAAGGGGUGAAGCCUGCGGUUCAAUUGGANUCAACGCCGGY